rnacentral:rRNA from 1 species
GGCUUAGAGUUUGAUCAUGGCUCAGGAUGAACGCUGGCGGCGUGCCUAACACAUGCAAGUCGAGCGAAGCACUUUGCUUUGAGAUCUUCGGAAGGAUAAGUUUUGUGACUGAGCGGCGGACGGGUGAGUAACGCGUGGGUAACCUGCCUCAUACAGGGGGAUAACAGUUAGAAAUGACUGCUAAUACCGCAUAAGACCACAGCACCGCAUGGUGCAGGGGUAAAAACUCCGGUGGUAUGAGAUGGACCCGCGUCUGAUUAGCUAGUUGGUAAGGUAACGGCUUACCAAGGCGACGAUCAGUAGCCGACCUGAGAGGGCGACCGGCCACAUUGGGACUGAGACACGGCCCAAACUCCUACGGGAGGCAGCAGUGGGGAAUAUUGCACAAUGGGGGAAACCCUGAUGCAGCGACGCCGCGUGAGCGAAGAAGUAUUUCGGUAUGUAAAGCUCUAUCAGCAGGGAAGAAACUGACGGUACCUGACUAAGAAGCACCGGCUAAAUACGUGCCAGCAGCCGCGGUAAUACGUAUGGUGCAAGCGUUAUCCGGAUUUACUGGGUGUAAAGGGAGCGUAGACGGAUAGGCAAGUCUGGAGUGAAAGCCCGGGGCUCAACCCCGGGACUGCUUUGGAAACUGUUUAUCUAGAGUGCUGGAGAGGUAAGUGGAAUUCCUAGUGUAGCGGUGAAAUGCGUAGAUAUUAGAGGAACACCAGUGGCGAAGGCGGCUUACUGGACAGUAACUGGCGUUGAGGCUCGAAAGCGUGGGGAGCAAACAGGAUAGAUACCCGGUAGUCACGCCGUAACGAUGACUGCUAGUGUCGGUGGCAAAGCAUUCGUGCGCAGCUACGCAUAGCAGUCACUGGGGAGUAC